CAGCUUCAAAGUUUUUGGCGCGUUUACAGAUUCUGCAGUAAAAGUGAUCACUAAUGUCACUAAUGCAGAUCGUGGAUGGCAACUGUCGUAAAACCUCAAAUAAUGUGCCUCCGCAGAGCAUCUCUGAAAGCUUCCUUGAUACAUCUAAAAACCGCAGCAUUGUUGCAAUGUUGUCCCUCAGAAAAUUGUUUGAAGAGCCUUCUAAAGACUCCAGCUGGCUGAAGUUUCAAAAGCAAACUCAAAUGCAUUUAUGAGCUCAACUUAAAAUCAAAGUCCACAGAAAGUACCUUUAUAAAAUAAA